ACUUAGUUGGUAAAGCACAAAGCUCUUAACCUUGUGGACGUGGGUUCAAACCCCAU
rnacentral:tRNA from 1 species